GUUUUGGGGUGAUGCACGAGGGAGCUGAAGCCUCUGUGGGUGCUUAGCGCUGCCCUGAGCAUGGAGGCACUACCAUGUCACGGAGCAGUUCUUGCAGUCAAGUUGGCUCUGCUGAAUUAGAGCAGAAGAUGGGAGGAAGGUCUUGGGUAAUCCUCUGUCCCUGUGGGACUUGUUCUGUUGUCUGGUGCUGAGUCCUAAGAAAGCUCUGCUGUUCAGAGGACUUGGCACAGGAAAGCACUGCAAAGACCAAACUAGAAAGCCUACAGGGGAAUGAAUCUCUCCACUGUGCUCUGGAGAAAGGAGAAGAGGUCCUUUGUGGAGUCAAUAACCUUCAGAAAACAAGCCAUGGUGGCUAAGAUAGACUUCUGCUCUGAGGCAUCAUUCAGAAGAACUUGUUUCUUUUUACUGAUGACAGAGUAAAUCGUGGAUUAUUAGAAGAGAAGACGGAACUUAAAAAUUGUGAAUAACUGCCUCAGUCUAAUCUUUCAGUUUAAAUGUAGUCUUGUCUUUGGUUGUACAUUUUUUGUGAAUGCAAGUCUUUUCAAUUUUAAAAGUAUUUUUCUCUUCUAGACACCUGUAGGCAAGAUAGCUUUGCAAGGUGAGAAAAACUCAGUCCUGAAAUUCACCUCCAACUUCCAGAGCUGAUAAGUGAUUUUAUUUAUUCAUUAUUUGUGUUGUUCUUUUGCCUGAGUCAUUCUGUUUCUCCUACAUGUCCACCACAAGUUAUGAUCACCUUUUAUUUUUUCGCAGGACUUGCUAGUAUUUCAACUCACUUUAUUUUGGGAUAUUACAACUAAUACAGCCUAGCAAAUAGAUUACAGAACAUGUUGUAAGAUCUUUCCAGUCAAUGGAUGUUUUCUCUUACACUGAACUCCCCAGUGUUGGGGUUCAGAAGGACAAGAACAUGGGGAAUUGCACAAACUGCAACAUCUCCAAAGUAGGUGGUGCCACUUUGUCUGCUAGAAAACCAUUUUUUGCCACAUGAUAUACAUGCAGCAUUCUUGUUGCAUGCAUUUAUUAAGUUUCUGCAAAAAUUCAGACUCCGUUGCAAUAAAACAUGGCUGAUUUAUAUACAGAAGAAGCUGGGAGCAGAGACAAAUAGAGGUCAAACCAGAACUUGCAUUUGCAGUAUUUUUAGAGAAGAGGAAUUGCAGUCUAUUGUAAAAUGGACAAAUGUCUCAGUAACUUUGUAUAAGCCAACAAUCACUUACCACACAGGUUAAAAUAGUUUUUCUGCACAAUUGCCCAGCAGAGCUAACAAAGCUGAAUCUGCAGUCCUGAGAGUCAGAGGAGGAAAUAAAAUCCCUGUCUAUUAAAAAGAUACAGCUGUAUAUGGAAGAUACAAAGAGAUGUUAAAUGAAGGUCUGUGCCACUGAAUGUAUGUUUUUAGUGAUAUAUUUUUAAAUCCAGUUAAAUUACAAGAGCAGAAUUUUCCUAAUCCAGUAAUAAAGGACUCUGGUACAGAGUAGAGUACAGAAAUGCCAUUUAACCAUUUGUUACUGUAAAGAUUUUCUUUCUUGAGUAAAUGUUUUUAAAAAAUGAAGUCAGUGGAAUUGUGCCUCACAAGAGGAGGGGAAAAACCAUUAAUAAACGUCCACAGAAGAUUUUCAAGGCUCCACAACAAAGGCUGCAGCCACUGCCUUAAGAACUAUGAAAGCAAUAAAGUAGGUGAAAAAGUGAGUUUUGCUGCCAUGCAAGUAUAACUGGGGGAAGUAGAAUCCUUUACAUUACAACAUUUAUAUAUUCUUGUUGGCUUUACCCUACUGGCUAUGCAACUGGUUGCUACUGGUUGAUGUGGGACAAGUUCAGUGUAGCUUUAGGGUAGAAAGGAGUGGCUGUCUAGGUUCUCCAGGUAUCCUCUUUGGUCUAGGGGGAAGUUAACAUGUUUUGUUUAUGUCGUCCGCAAGACUGGUGCUGAAGGCUUUCUCUAUUAACUGUAAGUCCCGAAGUGCCCUAUUAAGAUGACUAUAUCAUUCCUCUGCAUGGGGAACUAACUCAAAAUGAGAUCUGGCCCUUGAUUCCUCUGUGUGAGAAAUGCUUUCUGCACCACAAGAUUCUGCUUCCAGAACAGAACCUGAACAGGCUGCGGCAUGGGGAAUCUGGCUGGCCAUGGUUGUAAUUGCAACUUCUAAUCAAAUGUUUUACACAGCUUGGGUGAAUCAGCAAAUAAUAUCAAAAAUCAAUAUUGUGCCACUUCUUACAGCUGCAAGCAUGGUAAAAAUGUUUAUUAACUUUUCAGUAGUUCUAACUGGGAAGAAAGGAGCUUUUUACAUCCAAAAUACCAAAUAGUUGGUAUCCACUGUAGAGAGAUUUCUACUAUUAUAUUCUUGGAUCAGAAUUAGAGGUAAUUGUAGCACUGUCCAAUGAUAAAAAACAGCUGACAGGGGUGUUUCAA